UCCUACGGGCGGCAGCAGUCGAGAAUCAUUCGCAAUGGGCGAAAGCCUGACGGUGCGACGUCGCGUGGAGGAUGAAGGUCUUCGGAUUGUAAACUCCUGUCAUGUGGGAUAAAUGGCCGGGGCACGAAUAGUGCCUCGGAAUGAUAGUACCACAGGAGGAAGAGACGGCUAACUCUGUGCCAGCAGCCGCGGUAAUACAGAGGUCUCGAGCGUUGUUCGGAUUUACUGGGCGUAAAGGGAGCGUAGGCGGUUCGGUAUGUCGAAUGUGAAAGCCCACAACUCAACUGUGGAAAUGCAUUCGAAACUGCCGAGCUAGAGUACUGGAGAGGAGAGCGGAAUUCUUGGUGUAGCGGUGAAAUGCGUAGAUAUCAAGAGGAACACCGGUGGCGAAGGCGGCUCUCUGGACAGAUACUGACGCUGAGGCUCUAAAGUUAGGGGAGCAAACAGGAUUAGAUACCCCGGUAGUCC
rnacentral:rRNA from 1 species